CCAGAUAGCUCAGUAGGUAGAGCAGCGGACUGAAAAUCCGCGUGUCGGUGGUUCGAUUCCACCUCUGGCC
rnacentral:tRNA from 1 species